GAAAGGAGAUACAUUAUCUUAAUGCAUUUGCCUUGAGGCAGAAGAAAAGACUCACCUUCUGAAAACUCUGAGCAGGGGGAGGUGUUGGGAAACAUAGGUUGUUCAUUUGCCAGUGCACUUUGGAUGAGCAAGUUGAUCAGCCAACAAGUAUUUCCUGAGCCUCCAUAUGUCCAGUUCUGCCGAGACUGCGGCUUUGAAGAUGAGCAGGAUGUGGCUAUGCCUUCAGCAGGCCUGGGUCCAGUGGCAGGAAAAUUCAAAAAGAAACUGAAACCCCUCUGAUAUGGGAGAUACAGACAGAGAAGAGGAUUUUCUGGUGCAGAGCCCAAAAUUAGAGGAGAGGAAAUUCCAUAGAUUUUUCUGAUGAAGCUUUUAUCCAAGAUGCCAAGUUGUCCCUUCGAUGAAUCUGUGAAGACCUUUGUUGAUCAAGGGAUAACUGGAACUGGGGUGUAAGCCAGAGGUGCAACGGGUGAGAGGAUUCACCAGAGAGAGUGGGGAGCAGACCAGACAGAUCUACUGAAAUAAACUGCUGAGGGGAACAGCGGAUGACACAAGAGAGGUCUGCCAUCCCAUUAACCAAGGCCAGCUCGGCUAAAAGCCAAUGAACUCUAAGGAAUAUCAUCUGCAACCAAUCCUAGUUCUUGGUGAGCAGCUUCUGAGAUCCUGCCUUCUCCGUCCCCUCUCUUUGUCCCUUAAAAACCUCUUAAAGACCCCAGCAGGGUCUAAUCUGGGCUGAUACCUGAGUUUGUACCCUUAGUCCCCAAAUAAAA